rnacentral:rRNA from 1 species
UACGUAGGUGGCAAGCGUUGUCCGGAAUUACUGGGUGUAAAGCGCGUGUAGGCGGGAGGCCAAGUCUGCUGUGAAAUCGCCCGGCUCAACUGGGCGGGGUCGGUGGAAACUGGUCACCUGGAGGACGGUAGAGGCGAGUGGAAUUCCCGGUGUAGUGGUGAAAUGCGCAGAUAUCAGGAAGAACACCCGUGGCGAAAGCGGCUCUCUGGAACGGUACUGACGCUGAGACGCGAAAGCGUGGGGAGCGAACAGG